rnacentral:misc_RNA from 1 species
AUAUUUUGAAUUACGUAUAUUCAUAAUAUGUUAUCAGACGAAUGUUGUUAAAGAUAUAGGUUGAUAUUUGUGAAGGGAAAGAGUUGCCUCUCUCCCAACAAACAUUGCACACAAGGUGGAUAUGGAUUUUUAAAGAGUGCCAUAAAACACUCAUUGUGAAUGAUCCUUCCACAGGUUCACCUACAGAAA